UUGCGAUGACGACACUUAGGACACCUUUGGAUGAACCAUGAAAAGAACUUUGAGAAUAUCUGAGCAAU